AUUGAACGCUGGCGGCAGGCCUAACACAUGCAAGUCGAACGGUAACAGGAAGAAGCUUGCUUCUUUGCUGACGAGUGGCGGACGUGUGAGUAAUGUCUGGGAAACUGCCUGAUGGAGGGGGAUAACUACUGGAAACGGUAGCUAAUACCGCAUAACGUCGCAAGACCAAAGAGGGGGACCUUCGGGCCUCUUGCCAUCGGAUGUGCCCAGAUGGGAUUAGCUAGUAGGUGGGGUAACGGCUCACCUAGGCGACGAUCCCUAGCUGGUCUGAGAGGAUGACCAGCCACACUGGAACUGAGACACGGUCCAGACUCCUACGGGAGGCAGCAGUGGGGAAUAUUGCACAAUGGGCGCAAGCCUGAUGCAGCCAUGCCGCGUGUAUGAAGAAGGCCUUCGGGUUGUAAAGUACUUUCAGCGGGGAGGAAGGGAGUAAAGUUAAUACCUUUGCUAAUUGACGUUACCCGCAGAAGAAGCACCGGCUAACUCCGUG
rnacentral:rRNA from 1 species